rnacentral:rRNA from 1 species
AGAGAGAGACAUGCGCGCAUAUCAAUAAGCGGAGGAAAAGAAACUAACAAGGAUUCCCCUAGUAACGGCGAGUGAAGCGGGAAGAGCUCAAAUUUGAAAUCUUAAAGGGUUUCCCUUUACGAAUUGUAGUUUAAAGAAGUGUUUUCUGUUGAGGUUUUGGUAAAAGUUCUUUGGAAUAGGACAUCAUAGAGGGUGAGAAUCCCGUAUUUGACCUUUACUUUCAACUUUGUGAUACACUUUCAAAGAGUCGGAUUGUUUGGGAAUGCAGUCCAAAAUGGGUGGUAAAUUUCAUCUAAAGCUAAAUAUUGGCGAGAGACCGAUAGCGAACAAGUACCGUGAGGGAAAGAUGAAAAGAACUUUGAAAAGAGAGUUAAACAGUACGUGAAAUUGUCAAAAGGGAAGCGUUUGACACCAGUGUUGUUUUUCUGAAAAUCAAUUAAAGAACUGUUUAUGCUAAGCUGUUUAGACUUUAUCAGCUAACUGUUUAGUUUUGAGCUUUUCUUUAAUGCACUUUUCAGUUAACAAGUCAACAUCAAUUUCUUUUGCUGUAAAAAAGCUUGAGGAAGGUGGCUUGAGAUUCGUCUUAAGUGUUUAUAGCCUCUUGCCUAUGCAGUCGGAGAGAUUGAGGUCUGCAGCGUAGAUCCCUUCGGGGCUAAAUGCAUUUGUGCUAAGUUAUAGCAUUUUAUAGACAACUUGUUGACUAUGAUUUGUCUUGUAGCUUACUCGCUUAUGUUAUUUUACCUACGCUUAGGAUGUUGAGCGCAUGUCUCUCUCU